CCCUGUAGCUCAGAUGGUAAAGAAUCUGCCUACAAAGCAGGAGAUCCAGGUUCAAUCCCUGGGUCAGGAA
rnacentral:tRNA from 1 species